UGAGGAAUCUUCCACAAUGGACGAAAGUCUGAUGGAGCAACGCCGCGUGCAGGAUGACGGCUUUCGGGUUGUAAACUGCUUUUAUAUGGGAAGAUUAUGACGGUACCAUAUGAAUAAGGACCGGCUAACUACGUGCCAGCAGCCGCGGUAAUACGUAGGGUCCAAGCGUUAUCCGGAAUUACUGGGCGUAAAGCGUACGUAGGCGGCGCGUUAAGUGCAACGCGAAAUCUUGCGGCUCAACCGUAUAGACUGUGUUGCAUACUGGCGUGCUUGAGGAUGGCAGAGGCAAGUGGAAUUUGUAGUGUAGCAGUGAAAUGCGUAGAUAUUACAAGGAACACCAAUGGCGAAGGCAGCUUGCUGGGCCAUUUCUGACGCUGAGGUACGAAAGCGUGGGGAGCGAACAGGAUUAGAUACCCGGGUAGUCC
rnacentral:rRNA from 1 species